AGGAAUAUUGGUCAAUGGACGAGAGUCUGAACCAGCCAAGUAGCGUGAAGGAUGACUGCCCUAUGGGUUGUAAACUUCUUUUAUACGGGAAUAAAGUGAGGCACGUGUGCCUUUUUGUAUGUACCGUAUGAAUAAGGAUCGGCUAGCUCCGUGCCAGCAGCCGCGGUAAUACGGAGGAUCCGAGCGUUAUCCGGAUUUAUUGGGUUUAAAGGGAGCGUAGGCGGACGCUUAAGUCAGUUGUGAAAGUUUGCGGCUCAACCGUAAAAUUGCAGUUGAUACUGGGUGUCUUGAGUACAGUAGAGGCAGGCGGAAUUCGUGGUGUAGCGGUGAAAUGCUUAGAUAUCACGAAGAACUCCGAUUGCGAAGGCAGCUUGCUGGACUGUAACUGACGCUGAUGCUCGAAAGUGUGGGUAUCAAACAGGAUUAGAUACCCUGGUAGUCCACACAGUAAACGAUGAAUACUCGCUGUUUGCGAUAUACAGUAAGCGGCCAAGCGAAAGCGUUAAGUAUUCCACCUGGGGAGUACGCCGGCAACGGUGAAACUCAAAGGAAUUGACGGGGGCCCGCACAAGCGGAGGAACAUGUGGUUUAAUUCGAUGAUACGCGAGGAACCUUACCCGGGCUUGAAUUGCAACUGAAUGAUGUGGAGACAUGUCAGCCGCAAGGCAGUUGUGAAGGUGCUGCAUGGUUGUCGUCAGCUCGUGCCGUGAGGUGUCGGCUUAAGUGCCAUAACGAGCGCAACCCUUAUCGAUAGUUACCAUCAGGUUAUGCUGGGGACUCUGUCGAGACUGCCGUCGUAAGAUGUGAGGAAGGUGGGGAUGACGUCAAAUCAGCACGGCCCUUACGUCCGGGGCUACACACGUGUUACAAUGGGGGGUACAGAAGGCAGCUACACGGCGACGUGAUGCUAAUCCCUAAAGCCUCUCUCAGUUCGGAUUGGAGUCUGCAACCCGACUCCAUGAAGCUGGAUUCGCUAGUAAUCGCGCAUCAGCCACGGCGCGGUGAAUACGUUCCCG
rnacentral:rRNA from 1 species